AAGUGAGCGAGGAAGGGUUUGGCUAAACCUCAUGAAAACCUGGCAGUCGAGGAAUGCUGUGUUUAGCUCUUCAGCCAUGUUUGCAUGUGUUUGUUUCGCUGUGUGCUUGGGAAGUGGAUUGGAGCAGAGGAGGGACGGGCAAAGGAAAAUUACUUGAAUGAUGACACCGCCUUAUGUUACUGCUCCUCCAAGGUGUCAGGUCAGCGGUAAGCCACAGCAAAGCCAUUGAUCCCACAGCAUCCACCACAGUAAGCAGGCUAUUUAGAUGUACACAGAGAGCAGUGUCAGAGACUGAGAGAGGUUGUUAUUACUGAGUGCCUCUCUGUUUCUCCCUAGACUGUUUGCUCUGUGUGAUUAUUCUCUCCAGCUCCCCGAGCAUCCCAGCUUCUGCCUCUGUGAUAAAGAUAUUCAUUUACCUGAUAUGAAAAUCUUGUUCAUGGUGAUCCCAAAUGACUCUAGAUAGAAG